rnacentral:lncRNA from 11 species
UACCACAAUAUCUCUCCUUCUAACUGCAGGAAACAAGUCUUACUUCAUACCAGAGGCAUUGCUGGAGAAAGGCGUUGCCAUGGGAAGCGGAUGCUCCUUGCUGAACCAAGACACUUUGCCACAUGAAGAUGCCACAUCCUUAAUGCAGGCACAGAACCUGACUGGAUGGGCCACUGAUUUUUACUGAAACACUG